rnacentral:rRNA from 1 species
UACGUAGGGUCCAAGCGUUAUCCGGAAUCAUUGGGUUUAAAGGGUCCGUAGGCGGUUUUGUAAGUCAGUGGUGAAAGCCCAUCGCUCAACGGUGGAACGGCCAUUGAUACUGCAAGACUUGAAUUAUUGUGAAGUAACUAGAAUAUGUAGUGUAGCGGUGAAAUGCUUAGAGAUUACAUGGAAUACCAAUUGCGAAGGCAGGUUACUAACAAUAUAUUGACGCUGAUGGACGAAAGCGUGGGUAGCGAACAGG